GUGAAGGCAGAGGGGGCGUGUGUGUGUGUGUGUGUGUGUGUGUGUGUGUGUGUGUGUGUGUGCUUAAAAGUUGAACAAGACGGGGGUGAAAGAGGAAGUGUGAAAACCAACAAGUGGUGUGGGGUUUAUGUGGCUCUGAUACAUUGUUCAUUCUCUUCCACAGUGGGCAGCACAGUGCUGAGCUGCACGGUGUCUCCUGGGCCGCCAUCACCUCCCAUAAUCGCCCGGAGCAUGGAGGAGUUACAUGUUUUAUACCGGAGUAAAUUAUAUCCCACCAUUGUAAAACAACCGCGGAGUCUUCACAUCAUAACUUCAAUGGUACAAAUCCACUUCUCAGCACACUUAUCAGACUUCUGCAAGAAGAAAGGUUUCCGGCGCUGAUCAAGGCAGACUUUUGCAGAUUUUCCCCUGUAAGCUGAGACAUAAAGGCCAUCUCUCUCUGGUCGCCUUCCGGUCCUGCAGAGGGAACUCUCCCUCACUUCCCAUCCCCAAGAAUUCCCCUGCUCCCAGUUUCUAGGGGCUGGCACAUUCUGAGCUCCAUUGAGUACGCUCUGCCCGCCCUCCCUCAUCGGAGCACCGCCCAGUAUGAAGAUGUACCUGGUGCCCUGGCUCUCCCAACCCGGACCUGUA
rnacentral:lncRNA from 1 species